UAGAGAAGAGGAGAAGCUCCAAAAUUGCAGAAUAGACAAAUCUUUUUAAUCAAAGCAACAGAGAAGCUACAAUGAUGACACAAAACACAGAUCUUUUCAAUCAAAGUAGUAGAGAAGCUGCAAAGAUUGCACAAAAGGCAAAUCUUUUCGAAGGCUAGCAGAAGAAAAUUGUGUGUGCUUAUUUUAAAGGGAAGAGAGUUAUGAAGCCGUUAAAGAAUACAAUGCAGAUGGAUGUUGAUCUGGUUAGUUCUGAUUUCGAGCUUAUUGGAGUUUGUUGGUUGGACUUUGAGGCCAUGGGGAUUCACUUAGCCAAGAAAAUAAUUGUGGAUAUCCUCAGCAGGUUACCUGUGCGGUCUCUUCUUCGAUUCAAAUGUGUUU